AUUACAAUUAUGCAUUUGACAGAGUUUUUAUCCAAAGCAACUAGUCAUACAUUCCCUUCAUGUAUUAAAAUCACAGCUUGACUGGGAAAAUAUAUAUACAUAUAUAUUUUAUAUAUAGAAAAAAAAGUAUGGCUGUAUUUACUUAACCACUUUCAGUAAUGUCACAUACAGCAAUAUAAAAGUAUGCUUUUGUCUCAUAAUAAGAUUUAAAUAUGUACAUCAAAUAGAAAGAAAUGGCAGAACAAUAUACAAAUACAGUCAUCAUAUCUCACAGUAAUACUGUAACAGCAGAAACACAGAAUCAGUCCAGUGGGAGAUUUUAACCAGAGUCCAGUGUUAAACAUCAAAUACUGACCGUGUUUAUACAGAAAAACAUUUAGGAACAUUCUUUGCAUUUUUGCAGCGAUUUUUGUUAUGUAUCUGUUGCUUCAUUUAAUCAACUUAAGCAUACCUCAUCUGUGAAAUCAAUCCAGUGUAGAACAGAACAUUUUAUAAAAACCUUGCUAAAGGAAAUGGAUUCUGAAAACAUAAAACUCUUGACUUUUUGGGUAUAUUAGCAAGGCACACAUAUAUUCCAAAACAUGCCUCUAUUUUAAAAGGCCUUUUUGACACAAAACACUAUGGACAGUAUGCCGACUUUGUGUUUGAAAUAUCUCUCUCUUUUUCUGUACACUCAGUAAUAAAAUAUCAAAUUUUCAAGGAUAUCACACUCUUAUAAAUGUUGGCAUAAAUAGAUCCUUUUCAUUACACAUGAGGGGGGAAAUGUUCAUAAUGGUCACAAUUUUGUAUCUUAUCAGUAUAUUUACACCUUUAUCCACAUGCUAAAGUACCAUUACUUAAAGCCUGAUGCUGUGAAUCAUGGCCUGAUAUCUCUGAUUAAUGAUUUAAUAAUCCAUUGUUCUCAUUGGAACAGAGAAUAAGGAAAACGUUUCACAUGAAAAAAGCCAAAACACAUCACAAACUGAACACUUAUAGCCUCUACUUGGACAAAAAGCCUUCAUUGUUACCAGUAACCCCAAAUUUUGUGCUUUCCUGCCACUGGAAUUACUGUCACAGUUGUAUAAAACACAAUAAUUAGACCCCAUAUGGCAGAAAAUAUAUAUCAUAUAUAAUUUUUCUGCCCAAAAUAUGUUUUGAAUAUAUGCUAUAUAUAUGUUGUAAACAGUGAAUUGCAAUUAAGUAUC
ensembl:lncRNA